rnacentral:rRNA from 1 species
GAUCCUGCUCAGGAUGAACGCUAGCUACAGGCUUAGCACAUGCAAGUCGAGGGGAAACGAUAUUGGAAGCUUGCUUCCGAUAGGCGUCGACCGGCGCACGGGUGAGUAACGCGUAUCCAACCUGCCCACCACUUGGGGAUAACCUUGCGAAAGUAAGACUAAUACCCAAUGAUAUCUCUAGAAGACAUCUGAAAGAGAUUAAAGAUUCAUCGGUGAUGGAUGGGGAUGCGU